rfam:Myotis brandtii contig212470, whole genome shotgun sequence.
GUUUUCCGCUAAGUCUCCUCGGAGUUGGUUAUUGAUCCGGCUGAAAGGCCGCAGCUCUGAGGCUGUGCGUCCCUGGGGAGGAGGGGAGUGAGAAGGGACGAAGGCUGGCGGUUGGGGGAGGAAGUUGAUGAACUCCAGAGGAUGUAGGGCUUCCCUCAGUACCCGGGGCCGCCC